GUGGACGGGCAAUCGUCAACUGUUUUGCACGGUGAAGUUCUAGGUCAAGCGAUACCUAAUCGCCAGCGUAAGGACGCACCACCUGUGCCGCGAACAGGCGGCACUGUUGCGAAUUGUUACGGACGGUCGGGCAGAGACACCCGGGCAUCGCUCGUGUUCUCCGGUGGCAGCAGGAAAACUGGAUCCAAUUUCAAGGGCAUACAUCACCGAAGGGAAUCGGUUCGUGAUCUCGUGUGACUUUUGAUGCAAACCACCCACUCGGGAUGACCCACUAAUGGAAUGGGAAGGAAGUGAUGCACCGCCGCCGAAGGGUAGAAUUAUGGAAGCGCGGAUGAUCGUGAAUCAUCGCUUCAUGGAGGAGCACGAUCAACUCUUUUAUCGAAUGCAGUAUGACGGUGAAGGGCUUCAAUCCCCUUGGAUCAAAGCUUGAUCCAAGGAACAAGCAAUCAUCAUCAUUACAAGAUCGGUAGCGAAUCAGCUUUGUUUGUGGCAGUAGGAAGCCGAUCGGGGGCCCUAACGCCAAAGCCAACAACCUCAGCAUUGAGCCUCUUUUACACUUUCCGAAGGCUAUGACGUCGAGCAGUUCUAGACUUCGCGUUCUAAGCUUUUCCCAUGCUCGGCGAAGCACCCUCAGUCAGCCAACGAGAAGUGCAUGAAGAAGUACGUUCAAUCAGCGCACGUUGUUCGGUAGCGAUUUGUCGUGGGCUUAAUGUUGGAAUGAUCGUGCCUACAUUCUGCUUCCAUUACCACCCGGCAGCAUGCCCGCACUCCUUCGUCCUGUUCGAACCGUGCUCGGAGGACGUUGACUAUGUGAGUGAGCGCCUUUGUUUGUUGGAUUUUUGUCACCUUCGUCAUAGGCAAAUGUUUAUUGCCGCGCUGACUGCAACAUUAUGUCGUACCGAGUAAUGCAAAGCGAUAAUCGUUAUACUGCUCGUGAGGUGUGUGCUUGUGCACUGCCAGUUGGGCGUGUGAAGGCUGCCGGCAGGGUUGUUAAGCGGCUGAUUGUUAUUGGGUGCUUUAUCAAGCGAUUAGAUGAAACAUAAAAUUGAAACCAACGAGCGACCGGCUGCUAAUCCCAACCGCUUGCGUCUCCUCCGAUUUGUGCCGUAAACGCAUCAAGAAUGUUAAAUGACUUUCUGUGCUUCUUUUCUGCAGAGCUUCUAUUCACUGUGCGGCAGUUGCUGCAGAAGCCGGCAACUGACCUUAAAGAAUAAAAAUGGUUUGUUCGAGGAGCUGGCCGCCGCUUCUUAGGCCGUAUUGAGGUUGUGGGAAAAAAGCUUCAUCUCGAUUAAUUUUUCCACCAGCAUCAAUUGGAUUCGAUUAAUUGAAAGCUCUGCUAGAGCAACUCCGAUGGAGUUUGUGCAUUUCCGUCCAUUCCAAAGUCUGCAGGAGGAGGCGCAAAAUGACAGACCGUUAAUCAUAAUGCUGCACGGGACUUGCCGAAGAACGCCAGCUUAAAGGAAUACGAUUCAAGUGAAUUUACUCCGGUUGACACGGGGGCCCCAGAAUACGAUUGCAUACUUUUCAUUUCCUUGGGCGCUUGAAAUCGAGGUUGACAACUUGUCUUCAAACCGACCAACCGCGAUCAAUCGCUGCGGAGACAGUUUAUGACAUCGGAUCAUUAACGGUGGUGACGUAGAUCGAUUAAUUACCCUUGUGCUCAUUCUUUGCCACGACCUUCCUCCAGCUGUACUCCGGUUCUGGAUCCCGAAAGGAUGAAGUUUGCUAGCAUUAUCCCCACAAAAAUCUCACAGAGCACCGCUGGAUUGGAUUUUAAUUGGCUAAUGAGAAGUGUUUACGAUUCUCGCUAGAACCAGUGCCAGCACAGUUGAUCAUUUUCAUGGCACGAAUUUAUGUGCUUCACAACAGUGCGAUUUAUGAUCGUCUUUGAAAUGUGACGCUUUGACGCGUCAUGAUCCGGCAUACGGUGUGUUUGCCUGUUACACGGAGGCUAUAAACCUACCCACGGACGGCACACGGCGCUCGUGAGGUCAUUGUUUCUAAGGUGUCAUAAUUUUCUGUUCGGAAGGGUCGCCUACAAAAAAAUACUAGUUUUGGCUCUUAUCGAAAGGUAUUACUUUAGCCGGUACAAACUAGAACUUACUGAGAGUUCUGUUACCGGCCACAAUAUUCGAACCGUACCCCCACUUUUUCACUCAUGUUUUAAAUAAAAAAGGCAAUGAUUGACACCACCAGAUACGGCAGCGUAGGGGGAGCGUAGGGUUUGGAAAUGUUUCCACGUUGCCUAUAUCUUCCGGUCACGAUCGCGUACCUUUCACUGUGCGCCCUAAGAGAUUGCGGUGCGAACGCAUUUCAUAAGCCAGUACGGCUCGUUAAUCAUUCUCCUCCCACCCAGGUCGGGUGGGACACAAUCCAAUUUUUAAGCAAAAACCCGACCCGACAAAAAACAAAUCAGGAUCAAAAGUGCAAAUUUCACCCGACGUUGACAAAUGAAGGCCCACGGUGGUUCCCGAUUGGGGUUACGUUAGGGUAACUGUAUUGCGAAAAUGAGCCCACUAAAAUAGUGAUUUAAACUGUUAAUAAUGGGCAGAAAAAAAUGGGCGUUAUUUUAAUUUAAAAACGGCACGUCCAAAGAUAAACAGGGUUUGAUUGCAUAGUUUUCCCACACCCUUAACCUUCGCGCGAGCCACAUCCUCCACUCGUAGACAUCAGGGCCAUCAGUACACCAACCGCGCUAACAAGAAGAAAUGGAGAAGGAAAUCCGGAAAUCGCGAAGCCAUCACAACACAACAAUGGCCGAAAACAUGGCUGCAAAGCCGGCGAAAACUGUGUGGAAAAUGGUGGAGAGCCAUAAACGGAGCACGAUACAAUCCAAUCAACAUCUGCCUAUCUUCGUUUUCCACCUGUUAAAAACUGUGUUGAAUAAUUAUGGCCAUUUUUUACGCCACGCCACUCGUUGGGAGACGCGUUCUGGCAACGGAUGCGAGAAGCCUGUGUCGCUAAUAAAGUUCCAUUCCAAGGGUAGCGCUGAAUUCCGACCGACAGCACCACUGACCUAGUGAGGGAGAAGAGCCAGCCAGCUCGGCUCGGAGUAAUCGGCCAUCCACCCACAUGCAGGAAUGACAGUGCUAUGUAGUGACCGCAUUCGAGGGGGGCACAUUUGCAUUGGGCAGGGAGGGUCGGCGAUUAAGUGUGGCGAUUUCAAUUAACAACGAUAAACACAUACUCACGCUCUUCCGGACUUCCUACCAUCUCCUAUGGUGGUGGAGGUUCGUUCGAGAUGGCUGGAGAUGGCCCGGUUGAAGGGUAGCCAAAAGGAAUAAUUAAUAAACGACGGCUUCGCGUAAGAGGCUGCCAGUCAGUUACGGUCCAAUUUGCAUGGCGGUUGGAUGAAAGAUGAAGGAUGCAGUGGCGGCGGCGGGUAAUUAAAUGGAGACCGUUUCCGAAUGUUUGCUAGCAUGAAAAACAAAGCAAAACAGCAAGCGACCGAAUCGCUAAUGAAGAAACAAAUGUGUAUUGUUGUUGGACUCAAAACCAAAAAAAAAAAAA